GAGCUCCCCACAGACUCCAAACAUUCCCGUGUUAUGAUGAUCCCUCGCGGGAUCAUCCAAUGUUCUGAUAAAACCAGAAUAAUAUGGGUUAGGCCUGGGGUGUUUGGUGUCUAUGAAAAGAGAAUUCCAUUUCCCACAUAAUACACGUGGUUCCAUAAUUCUGGGGAAUACCCAUAAGUAUUUCAGGAUAGCUGUUCAACAGAACAGCCAGUUAGCAAAUGAUGACCCAACCUCUCUCAUUGGAUGGGGGCGUGAACUUUGUAACCUGGGGGGGUCAUGUGACAAGUUCCUGGGCACUUCCCCCUCAUGCAUACGGUAAUGAGGGAGGGGCCCAGCAGGAAGGAUAAAAAGGGUACACACCCAGGUACUGAUAGCUCAUUCUGAGGUCCCAAUAUGUUGGGGGAUGGGCUCAGGACUUUCAACUUCUUAGCUCAGAGGGCACAAGAUAUUCCGUAAUGUACUUAGGAUUUGUCUCUUUUGUAAGAUCUUUUUAAUGCACCGUUUACCCUUGUAAUAUUAAAUAUAAAAUGUAAUAAGUUCUGUCCUUUGGCUCUAUAUCGAUUCCCACGUACCUUGUAUGGCUGCUCAGGCCUAGAGGUGUAUUAACUGCUUGGUUGUGUGUGUGCUAAUUAGCUAGUGGGACUGUCAGUAGGGCAGUGUGUAUGAAAAUUAACCGUGGCUGCUGGUGUGUGUGGAAGUAGUAGAACUAUCCCUCACUGCAGUAGGAACGUUUGUGUAUGAAAUAUUUGGGUAAUUAGGUUUCUAUCGCCUGCUAAUGAUAGAUGGUGGCAGCAAAUAGUUGUAUUUGGGUCGGUGGUUGGUUUGGGGGUGCUUGAUGUUAGUCUAACCUGUGUGAAAUAUGUAGUGAGGUAAAAAACAAUACCAAAAAAGUCCUCAGCGCUAGCAAAUGAUAAAAUGUCCAGUCUUACUUGAACCGGGUAACAAAAUUGGAUGUGUAAACGUUUUCUUUACUGCAGCUCUUACCAUAAAAUCAUGUUAAGCCAUGGUGGACUGCAGCAAUGAAUUAUAUAAUAUACAACUAAUGUUUUGAGGGGAUUGCGACACCAUAAAUAUGGCUACUGCUAAAAAAAAUUCUUUAAAUUACCCUCUGAACAGGGUGGGGGGCUAUGAUAAUUAGCUAGUUAGCUAGCCAGCAAGCUUUUAUCUAGGGUAGAUCCUUACCCCACAAGGGUUUAGGAAUAUAGGACACUUAUAUUUGAUUUUAAUUUACACUUCGUUUAGAUCGAUCGUUACUCACUCAGCCUCCUGCACAUAACAUUCUACUGAGGCGCUGUACAGAGCAUGUACACAUAGCGCCUUGCUGCAGCUACGAGCUCGGUAGCUGAUUUACCUAAUACGCUGCUAGGGGAGCCUUACGGAGCGUUUACACAUAGCACGUUGCUAUGGUAAUGCGCCUAGUAGCAUGUCAACAUAGUAUGUUGCUGGGGGCGGCUCACGGAGCAGCUAUGCUUGGCGCGUUGCUAUGGCAACGCGUUCGGCUGACAUACCGAUUCCGACUUCUCCAGGGGGUUUCUAGGUUUGAGCGUAAGUAGGAGGGCACCCCUGGGGACUGGCGCCCCCACUGCUAUUUGGGCUAUACGUCUCAGCACCAUACUCUUUAUUUUAGAGCACGAUACACUCCAGCUACACGUUUGGUUUUUAAGUUUACGUAUUGAUCUUCACGUAGCAAUUGGCAAUUAUAACAGCCACCACGAUUCUUUCUAGGCUUACCCAAUAGUGCUAAGCACCACAUACCCCUGUUUCCUUACUAAUAUAGCUCGUUACUAUUCAGUUAUGAGAACAUAAGGGUCACAGUGGAUGACGUCAUAAACGUCAGACAAGAGGUCCACACGAGACACAGAGGAGGCGUUCAUUAGGGCUAUAUAAGUUGGGCUACUGUGAAAGAGAUACCAUUUGAUUCUUGCUCCUGAGGAAGUGCACCGAGCAGUGCACGAAACGCGUUGGGCUUUUCGGGCUAUUGAGUUCCUAUAUCUUACUACAUACUGUAAGUUUUAUUCUUUAUAUAUUGUUUUAUAAUAAAUCAUAUUGCACUAGUGGCGUUUUUUCCUUCUUGUAUGCCUCAAUGAGGAUAUAGCCACAGUGCACAUGAGGAUAAUCAGACGUGGAUGACACAUCGAUACAAUUGGGACACAUUCCAGGGAUACAAUAUCUGUUCAAACAGCUACAAGUCUACAAUGAACACAUGACGUUUAUUUUACCUCAACAACACUGCCAUCUGGUGAGCAGUUAGCGGUACCACACUUGGUGUUAAUAUUAAUUUAUUGAACACAGGGAAUUCUAAACGGUGUUUAAUACUGUCACAAUAUACAAACAUUACUACACUAUUAUUGUUUUUCUUUUGUUCCCUAUUCUAUGCGCUCCGGAUCUGUCUAUUUUGUUGAGUUAACCUGUGUGAAUGGUGACUGAGUGUAACCCCCUUGUUCCCCGUCCCGUGUCAGGCGCAUCUGUGAGUGGCGUUUCCCUGACACACAUCAUGCAGUAAUCUGAUCACUGGAGCAUCUUUUAACCAUCCACAUACCGCUCGCUUCACCUUUGGAGUCUAUGGAGGGGGGAGGAAAAUGGUCUCCACAGUCUAAAUAUGACUGAAGAUCUAAGAGAUGAGUUGGAUAGACUAACAGCAGAAAACAGAACUGGAGGAAAAGAUGGACGAAUACAAAGAAAUGUGUGGGUAAAGUGUUUUGGGUAUUUAGUAGUGAGCCCACAUGUGCACAAAGGGUUAACAGAUAUCUUUCCUUUCCAACACAUGACAUCUGUAAGUCUGGAAAAUAGACAUCCUGCCAUAAAACUACACAACAACCUUUACAGUACAGUUCAUAUCAAAGAUGCAAAUGGCUAUACACACUGGUGUGGGUGCAGGGCCAGAGCUCCCAAGGAAAGGAGACCCUACAAUAUCAACAGAGGAAUGCCUGCAAUGGGAUUUGAUCUGGCAGUGCAACCUAUCUUGAUAUAACUCUUGGUUAACCUGAGAAGA